ensembl:lncRNA
AUCUUUACUUGGAGAUUGCCUACUUUGGGAGUUUACUAGUGAGCCUGGUAUUCUCUGAACAGGGAGGAAACCCAAGGCACAGAGGAGGAGGUGAGAUACUGAGAACUGCUCCAGCAAACCAGGAAAAGAGGUCCACCAGGCAUUCCACGUGCCAGCCUGGGCUCCCUCCCUACUGUAUGGCAGCAUCACUCACAGAAAUGAUAAGGCUAAAGGAGCAAGAGGAAAGGUUGUCCAGCACCGAGCAGCUAACGGCCCUUUGUGGACUCAGACCAUCAAAGAGAAGACUACAGAAUGGGGACAGGCAUUCUUUCCAUUCCUGUCUGUCAGUGAAUAUGAGGAAAUGAGAGCAUGGGCCAGACCUCACUCCAGACGCAGAAAUGGGUGUACAUUGCUAUUCAGGCUUGAAUCGAGGUACCUUUGGUCCAGCAGCCUGCCUCCUACCACAAGCACUUCUGGAGGCUAUACAAGAACUCUGCUACAUGUAAAUAUAAGGUAAUUCACUUUCCACAGUUGGCCUUAUCUUCAUCUCUAAUAGAUCAUGACUUAAAUCUGGAAGUACAGAAGCUUAAUAAUUAAAAAUGUUCUCAGAGCUAAAUUAAAAAACAAACAAACAAACAAGCAAAAAACUGGAAAUUUUAGCAUUGAGAUAAAUAAUCAAAGUGAUUUUGGCGUUUGUUUAACUUUUGAUAGCAGAAAACACCAAUCAGCUUGGGUCCUUGGACCCAUAACCAUCCUUUUCCUGUAGGUUCCAUUGCCUCGCUACUUGCUGUUAUAGCAACAGACACUUUGCAUAUUCAGUUAACAUUAUUUGGUUAUAAAAUGCAAUAAGCUAUUACUUCACCACUGCAGGUUUUGCUACUAGUAAGCCUCAACUUUCCACAGCCAAAAGAUUUACUGGAAGAUUCCUUUCUAAAAAGCUUACCUAAACGAACAAAGCACUUCUAGCUUGCAUUUGAUAUGUCAAUGGAAUGUGGUAUUCUUCACAAAAUCAGGUUAAUCUGAGACAGUUCAUGAGUUGUUUGAGCUGUGAUCCCCCUCCUCAGAGUAGUGACAUGGAAAGGGACUGGGUAUUCCUGAAACCCUGAUAGAAGUUGUACAUAGAGGAAAUGCUGCAUUUCCUUUGUUCUUUAUAUGUUCUAUAAAUAUUUAAUGUGUUUGUUAAAGCUAUGUUAUUUCUGGAAGCAUGCCUACUCUCUUGUUUAAUUUUUCCUGAAUCCUUCAUGGCUGCAGAUAGCUUGGGAUACACAGAGAUUUAGCAUUCAAUAUUUAUGCUCUUGCUAAUGGACACCACAUGAAGAUUGGGAAUGUAAACGGGUUGCAAGGAACAGAGAGGGAAAUUUUUAGCACAUCUAAAAAAGGACUGGGCUUAGAGUCCUUCGGGUGAAAGACAUUUCUAUUACUCAUACUUAUGACUUUCCAUCCUUCUCACAGAAAAAAAAGAAUGAGAAAGGUCAUCAGAGCUUCCUAAGCCUGAUCAGAUAUCAGAAUGGUCCUGCUGAGUUUUGCAUCCUGACACUUUGAAUUAUGGCAAAAGAAUUUUUAGCAACAUGCUCUUCUUUUUCCAUCUUUUUAUAUUCAUUUAUCACAGCUAGUGAUUGUUCCUGGCUUCUUUUGAUCAUAGCCAACUUCUUUCCCUUUGGAGAAAGUAUUUCUUAAUACGAAAAUGUUAUCCUUUCACUUCUGCGAUUAAAUAUAACCACUUUGUUUCCAUUUUCUUGCUAUAAUGCUCCUAACACAUUCACCCUGCCCAGCUCUGAAGGAACAGCUGUAAUACUUUGUCUAUGGCAAUAUAUGCAAGAAAGAUGCAAAAAUGUCAGGCAGCACAAUAAAUAAAACCUUUUCUAUAAAUAUAC